rnacentral:lncRNA from 1 species
AGGCAAACUUAGGUAGGGUUGGGGGGAAACUUUGUGAAGACAGAGAUGGAGUUUUGUUUAACUUUGUAUACCCAGCAGCUUGCAUGAUGUUUGGAACGUAGUAGGUGCUCAAUAAAUAUUUGGCAAAUGGAAGCUAGGUACUUGUUAAGGUGUCUUUUCUACCUUGAUUUUAUUUUACUUUUCUUUCAGUGCUUCCUACAUCACUUAAAGCCUCUUUUGGAGUAAAUGUAAGGCGUAAUUUUGUGGGAUAUACAUGAAACCAGCAUCGUGCUAGGUUUUUUGAGUGAAUCAGAAAGAAAUCAUAAGGCUGUCACCUGAUGCUGACUACCUGGUCCCUGGCUUUAAGAAGUGCACCACUUAGAUGGCUAACCAAGGCAGGAAUGUGAACAUGAGGACACCCUGUCUCAGGAUGAUGCCAGUGGCAUUCACAGGAAGUAAGAACAUAACAUGAACUUCAGAGAAAAUACGAACAGCAUUGAGAUAGGAGAAUUUCUCCCUAAGAAUGGCUUAUUUCUGAGAAAGAGGACUGUGAAGCCCCUUCAGUGAAAUGUGCAUGCAUUUUAAACAUUCCUACAGCAUGCCAGCCUCUUCCUGGGACUACUGGUCACGAGGAACACAGUGUGGAAACCCAGAGGAGGAAGUGGCUAACAGUGUCUGUGGAAGUUGAAGAAGAUUCCUCAGAGAAUGUGGUUUUGGGAUACAAUCUUAAAGGUGGAAAAGGUAGAGAAAAGUCUUCCCAGCUGGGGGAGUAACCAACUGAGGGAAUAAGGAAAGGAUGGUGCAUAAAGGGAAUGGCAGGAAACUCAGGAUACCUGUGGCAGAAGAAGCAUUUGACCCAGGGAGGGUAAAAAGCAAAGGGACCUCCAACGCUGUGCAAAGGUAUGUAGAGUGUGUCCUAGGGAGGGGAUGGAGAUGGGGCAGGAGCCAUUGAAAAGCUUAAGUGAUCUGGUGAGAUUACAUUUUAGAAAGAUCAGUCUGUCUGCAAGAUGGAAAAUGGUUUGAGAGGGACAAGAGUGGAGCAAGGAAACCAGUCAGAGGGUGCUGAAGUGCUCAAGGGAGGCAUGAUGGUGUCUUUGACUGACUCUCGGGGGAAGGUAAGUGGAGGGGUGCCAGCGGAAGCAGGAAGUAGACGCAACAGGUAUUUGAUGUUGGCAUUAAGUAGGGGGGCAGAGCCAUAGGCGACCCCAGGUUUUGUUCAUUCUUGAAAGAGUUUUUCAGUGCCUACAAGGUGCCAGGCACCAUUUUUUUUAUUUUUUUUGUUUGUUUUGUUUUGUUUGGAGACGGAGUCUUGCUCUGUUGCCCAGGCUGGAGUGCAGGGGUGCCAUCUCAGCUCAUUGUAACCUCCACCUUCCAGGUUCAAGCGAUUCUCCUGCCUCAGCCUCCCAAGUAGCUGGGACUACUGGUGUGGGCCACCACACCCACUAAUUUUUGUACUUUUAGUAGAUAGGGAAUUUUGCCAUGUUAGCCAGGCUGGUCUUGAACUCCUGACCUCAAGAGAUCCACCCGCCUUGGCCUCCCAAUGUGCUGGGAUUACAGGCGUGAGCCACUGUGCCUGGCCCUAGGCACUGUUUUAAGUGAGAUACAGCCAUGAACCAAACAGUCAUUCCCUCUAACCCAAAGAUUCCAGACUAAGCUUCAAGCAUGGGAGAACAUGCUGCUUUAUGAGGAGUUUGCUCCAAAAGUUAGGACCUGGUGUUGUUAACUGCGAUACAAAUUUACUCCAGGAAGCUAGUUUUCUAGAAAUUCCCUAACCCACAUGUGUGUUGCCUCAUUUAAGAGAAGACAGGAUAUUUUUAGUCUUUAAGAAAAAAUAACCAGCAGAAAAUGUUCUACAAUGUAGACAAAGUUGGUUACAGAGCAUAACAUUACACUGCAGAUUUGUUCACGUUGCCCAUUCAAUUCCGAAGGACCAGGAGGAACAGGAGUCAAAGAAUCUGGACUUGUGUUUCCUGUUGUCCAUUCGGGAAUAACAACCACUUAUAGUUUGUCUCAGCAACUCCACCUAUUGACAGACUGGCUGUUCUCAGACCUAUUGCCUGCACCCCUAGAAUCUUCUGUCAGGUUCCACAGGAAGCCAUGUUCCCACGCUCCUCUGCUCUCUGACUUCGAGCAGCUAAACAAGCCCUGGUCUCAAGAUGAGCAAUGUUGGAACAACUACAGUUCAUCCAUCACCAGAUGCUGACUAACUAACUCACAUUCCACCAGCCACAACUACAGUUUUGAUUGCGUAAGAGACUGAUUUCAGCAUCUUUCUCCUGGUAAGAGACUAUCAACCAUGGACUGGUUCUGGACGAUUUACCGAAGCUGCACACUACAAUGCAUUCCUGUCCCUGCUUCACCUUUUGAUGUAUAGGGCCUAACUGAAGCACAUAUAAAUGUUAAGUCUCACCCCAAAGCGAACAUGGGUCACACAUAACAUGCAUGUUUAUUCAGUAUGCAUACAUUAAGACCCUCUUCAUAAAUGUUCAUAGCUCCUCCUGUAACCUGUGGAAUAUGUAUAUUUGGCCAACCAGCUCAGCAUAAAUUCCUGUUCCAUCUUCCUUUCCCUUGAAGUGCCCACCUUUCAGCCUCUGCCAGAGGCUGUGCUUCUCAGCCUGUCCGGAUAGUCACUCUGCAGGCUGUAACCUUUUAUAAGAAAUAAAGACUCCUUUCCAAAUGUAUAGAUUUGUGAUUUUUCAAUUAACAAGUAAUUGUUGCUGUGGCACGAUUCAGGAUCUUUUUCGUCAACAGGUUAUUUAUUAAGCACCAUUUAAGUGCCAGGCACUGUUCUAGGUACUGAGAAUACAGCAGUGUCAACACAUAAAGAUUAAUGGAGUGUAUAGUCUAGUGGGAGUAUACGGACAAUAAACAAAUAAAUACAUGAUACGUCAAACGGAGACAAGUGCUAUGAAAAAAUGACUAGAGCAGCUUAAGAGGACAGAGAGGGUCAGAGCUGGGGGUGCUAUUUUAGAGACAGUGGCCAGAGGAGACAUUUGAGAAGAGACUUGAGAAAAGUGAG